rnacentral:rRNA from 1 species
UGGGGAAUAUUGGACAAUGGGCGAAAGCCUGAUCCAGCAAUGCCGCGUGAGUGAAGAAGGCCUUCGGGUUGUAAAGCUCUUUUACCCGGGAUGAUAAUGACAGUACCGGGAGAAUAAGCUCCGGCUAACUCCGUGCCAGCAGCCGCGGUAAUACGGAGGGAGCUAGCGUUGUUCGGAAUUACUGGGCGUAAAGCGUACGUAGGCGGCCAAUCCAGUCAGAUGUGAAAGCCCAGGGCUCAACCCUGGAAUUGCCUUUGAAACUAGUUGGCUUGAAGAUGGGAGAGGUGAGUGGAAUUCCGAGUGUAGAGGUGAAAUUCGUAGAUAUUCGGAAGAACACCAGUGGCGAAGGCGGCUCACUGGACCAUUCUUGACGCUGAGGUACGAAAGCGUGGGGAGCAAACA